UCACCUUAGGAACAAUAAAGUUCCUAAAGUGUUGGCAAAAAUGGUCCAUCAACUUUAUUAUGUAUUAUACUAAUUCUUAAUUUUAUUAUAUAUGAAAGAUAGGUCCCUAUGGUUCAAUAUGACAACAUAUUCUUUCCCAUUUUCUUAUGUGCAGCUUGCUAAUUUUAUGGGUCGUUUCCACUGGUUAACAUGUCCCAAAAAGGGUUAAAGAGAGGUUGCAAAAGAGGGUGGUUGUGAAUUUUCUCACAAGAGUAAAGGGAUGUUGGAUCGAUCGGAGAACAAAGUGGUUGUGGGGUUACAUAUACAUUAUUGGAUCAACAGUUUUAUUUGCUCAUUCAUGAACUACUAAGGGACUAUAGUUUUUUAUUUUAUUUUUUAUUUUUUUAUUUUUUAUUUUUAUGUUUUUCAUUAUUUGUGUAAGUUAUAUCUUUGAUAUGGUAUGGUAGGCUUUGAAUUUGGUUUC